rnacentral:rRNA from 1 species
UCCGUAGGUGAACCUGCGGAAGGAUCAUUAAAGAUUAUGAAUGAAUAGAUUACUGGGGGAAUCGUCUGAACAAGGCCUGCGCUUAAUUGCGCGGCCAGUUCUUGAUUCUCUGCUAUCAGUUUUCUAUUUCUCAUCCUAAACACAAUGGAGUUUUUUCUCUAUGAACUACUUCCCUGGAGAGCUCGUCUCUCCAGUGGACAUAAACACAAACAAUAUUUUGUAUUAUGAAAAACUAUUAUACUAUAAAAUUUAAUAUUCAAAACUUUCAACAACGGAUCUCUUGGUUCUCGCAUCGAUGAAGAACGCAGCGAAUUGCGAUAUGUAUUGUGAAUUGCAGAUUUUCGUGAAUCAUCAAAUCUUUGAACGCACAUUGCGCCCUCUGGUAUUCCAGGGGGCAUGCCUGUUUGAGCGUCAUUUCUCUCUCAAACCUUUGGGUUUGGUAGUGAGUGAUACUCGUCUCGGGUUAACUUGAAAGUGGCUAGCCGUUGCCAUCUGCGUGAGCAGGGCUGCGUGUCAAGUCUAUGGACUCGACUCUUGCACAUCUACGUCUUAGGUUUGCGCCAAUUCGUGGUAAGCUUGGGUCAUAGAGACUCAUAGGUGUUAUAAAGACUCGCUGGUGUUUGUCUCCUUGAGGCAUACGGCUUUAACCAAAACUCUCAAAGUUUGACCUCAAAUCAGGUAGGAGUACCCGCUGAACUUAAGCAUAUCAAUAAGCGGAGGA